AUUGAACGCUGGCGGCAUGCCUUACACAUGCAAGUCGAACGGCAGCGGGGGAGAAGCUUGCUUUUCCUGCCGGCGAGUGGCGAACGGGUGAGUAAUACAUCGGAACGUGCCCUGUAGUGGGGGAUAACUAGUCGAAAGAUUAGCUAAUACCGCAUACGACCUGAGGGUGAAAGUGGGGGACCGCAAGGCCUCAUGCUAUAGGAGCGGCCGAUGUCUGAUUAGCUAGUUGGUGGGGUAAAGGCCUACCAAGGCGACGAUCAGUAGCUGGACUGAGAGGACGAUCAGCCACACGGGGACUAAGACACGGCCCAGACUCCUACGGGAGGCAGCAGUGGGAAUUUUGGACAAGGGGCGAAAGCCUGAUCCAGCAAUGCCGCGUGUGUGAAGAAGGCCUUCGGGUUGUAAAGCACUUUUGUCCGGAAAGAAAUGGCUCUGGUUAAUACCUGGGGUCGAUGACGGUACCGGAAGAAUAAGGACCGGCUAACUACGUGCCAGCCGCCGCGGUAA
rnacentral:rRNA from 1 species